CAACAACAACAACAACAACACCGUAUAUGAGCCGUGAACCGAAUGGAAGAGGAGCAAACUAAUAAAGAGAGGGCCAGGAUGCACAAUGGGCAAGAUGAUGAUUGGAAAUGGGUACGAGGUGUUCUGACCUGGUUGUAGGUCCCGUGGACUUCACAGCUGACAACCAGCUGCAGGUAUUGAAGAGCGCCCCCCUCAACCCCAUGGCCAUCUGUGAGUACUGCACCCAUAGUAGAGAAUAGUGACAUUAAAUGAUACAAAACAACAGAGCUUAAAGUUCAGAUGAUUACACGACUCAUAAAAGCAGUAAUGUGUUACUAUUGUACAUACUACAUGUGUAAACAUGAGACAUAGCCAGAGCUUCCAGUUUAAAUUAUUCUUUAGUUUACUCAGUAAAAAGCUGCUUUUCAGCCUGGUGGUAAGAUGACUAUGUUAUAGUUCUAAAGCUUUUGUUGUUGUUGUUGUUGUUGUUGUUGUUGUUGUGCCUUCCCGUUCCACCGUAGAGUUUAUAAUUAUGCUGCUUUGUACAUGGUUUGUAUUGUUAUUACAACAUAUCACAGAAUACAAUCCAAAAAGUUGGUGAGUUCCAAAAAAAAGAAACUUAAUUGGUGAAUUAGAUUUUUUUUUAAGUACAAGACAAAGAAGAUAUAGGUUUUUAGUUGCCGUCCUUAUUUUGCUGUUAUUUUGGGAAACAAGGCCAUUCCAUAUAAAAUAGACACAGUGAAGAUGAAGGUCCAUCCAACUAUGAUGAAGCCACAAUUAAGACUUUCCCAAACUGCUUCCUGCUCCUGGAAUCAACGAAGCUUCCCCUGAACAUGAAGCAAUGUCCCUUCUGCACCAGAAGAUGUCACCAUUAAAUAACAUAAUUCAACUUUGAAUCUGCAGCCACCAGAUGGUCCAAAUGGGAUUCAUAAGUGCAGCAGAGUGAAACUACCACAAACCGCCAUGUUUCUGUUUCAGUAAGAAUCAGAAGAACGUUUCUGUUCCUCUUUCCUGUUUAUUCACCUCCAUCUUCCAACACAGCCUGUGAGGAGGAAGCACCCUGACGUGUGGAGGACAGCUACACUUCACUGUGUUUCAUAUGUGUCCUGCCUCUCUGCUCCCAGCCGUUAAGAGGCCAUGUUGAUCAGUGGCUGUC